UCUUUCCAGUGACAGAUGGAUUUGAGACCUUGCAGGGCGUCAUUGAUUCAAUCCUAAAGAAGUCCUGUACCGAGAUCCUGGCAGCAGAGCCCUCUAGUGUCUGUGCUGGAGAGUCCUUCCAGGUAGUGGUGAGAAGCAACGUUUUCCUCCACGCACGAAAUGUUGAUGAAGUCCUACGCAGCUUCAGAAUCAACAACGCCCUCACGAAAACCUGUAAAUAAGACAAAGGAGUAACUACCACACAUGAAGCAGGGGGAAGGAAACAGCUUCAGGUUUAUUGUAUGAGUUGUGAAAACCUUUUCCUACCACGCACACCACAGUACCCAAAUAAAAAUAAAAUGUCUGCUCUUUUGAUGUGGAAGAGAUGAGCAAAUGUUUCUUUAUUAAUGUGAUGGGUACUCAUGUUAGUGCAGCCUCAUGUUUCAAUCAAAGUUGGAAUAUUUUAAUUGACCACAGCUUUAUAGCUUAUUAUAUUUGUAAAAGUAUUUGUCAGUUGUAUUUGUUUCCAUCCAAGUGGUCUGUCUUGAUGUUUGAGAAAGGAUAUUGCAAU